UGGGGGAUAUUGCACAAUGGGCGAAAGCCUGAUGCAGCGACGCCGCGUGGGGGAUGAAGGCUUUCGGGUUGUAAACCUCUUUCGCUAUCGAACAAGGCCCGCUUAGGGUGGGUUGAGGGUAGGUGGAGAAGAAGCGCCGGCUAACUACGUGCCAGCAGCCGCGGUAAUACGUAGGGCGCGAGCGUUGUCCGGAAUUAUUGGGCGUAAAGGGCUUGUAGGCGGCUUGUUGCGCCUGCUGUGAAAACGCGGGGCUUAACUUCGCGCGUGCAGUGGGUACGGGCAGGCUUGAGUGUGGUAGGGGUGACUGGAAUUCCAGGUGUAGCGGUGAAUGCGCAGAUAUCUGGAGGAACACCGAUGGCGAAGGCAGGUCACUGGGCCAUUACUGACGCUGAGGAGCGAAAGCAUGGGUAGCGAACAGG
rnacentral:rRNA from 1 species